rnacentral:tRNA from 1 species
UAGGGGAAAGCAAAUUGAUUGCAUUUAAUUGUUAAUUAAAAGUAAGUUUCUAACUCCCUUAG